rnacentral:rRNA from 1 species
UGCAGUCGAGCGGAUGAGUGGAGCUUGCUCCAUGAUUCAGCGGCGGACGGGUGAGUAAUGCCUAGGAAUCUGCCUGGUAGUGGGGGAUAACGUUUCGAAAGGAACGCUAAUACAGCAUACGUCCUACGGGAGAAAGUGGGGGAUCUUCGGACCUCACGCUAUCAGAUGAGCCUAGGUCGGAUUAGCUAGUUGGUGGGGUAAUGGCCCACCAAGGCGACGAUCCGUAACUGGUCUGAGAGGAUGAUCAGUCACACUGGAACUGAGACACGGUCCAGACACCUACGGGAGGCAGCAGUGGGGAAUAUUGGACAAUGGGCGAAAGCCUGAUCCAGCCAUGCCGCGUGUGUGAAG